rnacentral:lncRNA from 1 species
GUCACCGGCAUGUCGUGAGCGGGUGACGGACAGCUUGGUGUGUUGUGGGCCACAGAUGGCGGGGGACUUUUGUGUUCGCCGAGUGCCUAGACUGGUGUCUUGUCGUGUUGGAGGACACAUGACACAGCUCUGUGCUGGGUUGAUAGGACCUGAGCCCUAGGACCAUGCCUCAAGACUACCUGGCAUGAUGACUCCUUGCUGUCCCCAGUCCACCUAGCCGUGCUGCUGCUCCAGUUUCAACUGUUCUGCCCGCGGCUAUGGAACCCUGACCUGUUCACCGGACGUGCUACCUGUCCCAGACCUGCUGUUUUCAACUCUCUAGAGACAGCAGGAGCGGUAGAGAUACUCUCAAUGAUUGGCUAUGAAAAGCCAACUGACAUUUACUCCAGAGGUGCUGACCUGUUGCACCCUCGACAACUACUGUGAUUAUUAUUAUUUGACCAUGCUGGUCAUCUAUGAACAUUUUAACCUCUUGGCCGUGUUCUGUCAUAAUCUCCACCCAGCACAGCCAGAAGAGGACUGGCCACCCCUCAUAGCCUGGUUCCUCUCUAGGUUUCUUCCUAGGUUUUGGCCUUUCUAGGGAGUUUUUCCUAGCCACCGUGCUUCUACACCUGCAUUGCUUGCUGUUUGUGAACAGCAUGUGAGCAUGUGAGCAUGUGAACAGCUCUCUCCUGGC